rnacentral:rRNA from 1 species
AUUAAACGCUGGCGGCAGGCCUAACACAUGCAAGUCGAGCGGAUGAAGGGAGCUUGCUCCUGGAUUCAGCGGCGGACGGGUGAGUAAUGCCUAGGAAUCUGCCUGGUAGUGGGGGAUAACGUCCGGAAACGGGCGCUAAUACCGCAUACGUCCUGAGGGAGAAAGUGGGGGAUCUUCGGACCUCACGCUAUCAGAUGAGCCUAGGUCGGAUUAGCUAGUUGGUGGGGUAAAGGCCUACCAAGGCGACGACCCGUAACUGGUCUGAGAGGAUGAUCAGUCACACUGGAACUGAGACACGGUCCAGACUCCUACGGGAGGCAGCAGUGGGGAAUAUUGGACAAUGGGCGAAAGCCUGAUCCAGCCAUGCCGCGUGUGUGAAGAAGGUCUUCGGAUUGUAAAGCACUUUAAGUUGGGAGGAAGGGCAGUAAGUUAAUACCUUGCUGUUUUGACGUUACCAACAGAAUAAGCACCGGCUAACUUCGUG